UACGUAGGCAGCGGCGUUGUUCGGAUUUACUGGGCGUAAAGGGCGCGUAGGCGGUCGUGACAAGUCACUUGUGAAAUCUCCGGGCUUAACUCGGAACGGUCAAGUGAUACUGUCGGACUAGAGUACAGAAGGGGCAACUGGAAUUCUCGGUGUAGCGGUGAAAUGCGUAGAUAUCGAGAGGAACACCUGCGGCGAAGGCGGGUUGCUGGGCUGAUACUGACGCUGAGGCGACGAAAGCUAGGGGAGCAAACGGGG
rnacentral:rRNA from 1 species